rnacentral:rRNA from 2 species
AGAGUACGUGAAACCGUUCAGGGGUAAACCUGAGAAACCCGAAAGGUCGAAAGGGGAGAUUCAGCGUGUCUCGAUUGCGGCGCUGGAUGGUCGUGCGACGGAAGACGUACGCGUCAUCCGCACCUUCCGUCCUCCGAACCGUAGUCGAACGCGUGCACUUCUCCCCCUGUAGGACGUCGCGAUCCGUUGGGUGCCGGUCUAAGGCCCGCAGUGGAGCCCGUUCGGACGGUUCGCCGUUCCGGACGAACCUGCGGUGUUUCCCGGUCGGCUCGCUCGACGGUAUACAGAUGGCGCGGGGCCGCUACACAUUAGUUAGCGUCCGACCGGCGGCAAGCGCGCUCGUCGUGACGGUGAUCGGACCUGGUGCCGGUCCUGUCCCCGAGUGGCUGUUCGCUGCCGUGUUCUCGGACAGACCUCGUCGAAACGCCGAUCUGCGACGCUAUAGCUUUGGGUACUUUCAGGACCCGUCUUG